rnacentral:rRNA from 1 species
GAGUUUGAUCCUGGCUCAGAUUGAACGCUGGCGGCAGGCCUAACACAUGCAAGUCGAGCGGCAGCGGGAAAGUAGCUUGCUACUUUUGCCGGCGAGCGGCGGACGGGUGAGUAAUGCCUGGGGAUCUGCCCAGUCGAGGGGGAUAACAGUUGGAAACGACUGCUAAUACCGCAUACGCCCUACGGGGGAAAGCAGGGGACCUUCGGGCCUUGCGCGAUUGGAUGAACCCAGGUGGGAUUAGCUAGUUGGUGAGGUAAUGGCUCACCAAGGCGACGAUCCCUAGCUGGUCUGAGAGGAUGAUCAGCCACACUGGAACUGAGACACGGUCCAGACUCCUACGGGAGGCAGCAGUGGGGAAUAUUGCACAAUGGGGGAAACCCUGAUGCAGCCAUGCCGCGUGUGUGAAGAAGGCCUUCGGGUUGUAAAGCACUUUCAGCGAGGAGGAAAGGUUGAUGCCUAAUACGCAUCAACUGUGACGUUACUCGCAGAAGAAGCACCGGCUAACUCCGUGCCAGCAGCCGCGGUAAU